rnacentral:tRNA from 1 species
UCCGGGCUGGGGUAGUGGUAUCCUACGGCCCUGUGGCGGCCGUGAGGUGGGUUCAAUUCCCACGCCCGGAC